rnacentral:rRNA from 1 species
UACGUAGGGUGCAAGCGUUAAUCGGAAUACUGGGCGUAAAGCGUGCGCAGGCGGUUCUAUAAGACAGAUGUGAAAUCCCCGGGCUCAACCUGGGAACUGCAUUUGUGACUGUAGAGCUGGAGUACGGUAGAGGGGAUGGAAUUCCGCGUGUAGCAGUGAAAUGCGUAGAUAUGCGGAGGAACACCGAUGGCGAAGGCAAUCCCCUGGACCUGUACUGACGCUCAUGCACGAAAGCGUGGGGAGCAAACAGG